UACGUAGGUGGCAAGCGUUAUCCGGAAUUAUUGGGCGUAAAGAGGGAGCAGGCGGCAGCAAAGGUCUGUGGUGAAAGACUGAAGCUUAACUUCAGUAAGCCAUAGAAACCGGGCAGCUAGAGUGCAGGAGAGGAUCGUGGAAUUCCAUGUGUAGCGGUGAAAUGCGUAGAUAUAUGGAGGAACACCAGUGGCGAAGGCGGCCUGCUGGACUGCGACUGACGUUGAGGCCCGAAAGCGUGGGGAGCAAACAGG
rnacentral:rRNA from 1 species